AUACAGAGGGUGCGAGCGUUAAUCGGAAUUACUGGGCGUAAAGCGCGCGUAGGCGGCUUCUUAAGUCAGAUGUGAAAUCCCCGGGCUCAACCUGGGAACUGCAUCUGAUACCGGGUAGCUAGAGUUUUGGAGAGGGAAGUAGAAUUUCAGGUGUAGCGGUGAAAUGCAUAGAGAUCUGAAGGAAUACCAGUGGCGAAGGCGACUUCCUGGCCAAAAACUGACGCUGAGGUGCGAAAGCGUGGGUAGCAAACGGGAUUAGAAACCCUUGUAGUCC
rnacentral:rRNA from 1 species